rnacentral:rRNA from 1 species
GACAGAGGGUGCAAACGUUGUUCGGAAUUACUGGGCGUAAAGCGUGCGCAGGCGGUGAUGUAAGACAGUUGUGAAAUCCCCGGGCUCAACCUGGGAACUGCAUCUGUGACUGCAUCGCUGGAGUGCGGCAGAGGGGGGAUGGAAUUCCGCGUGUAGCAGUGAAAUGCGUAGAUAUGCGGAGGAACACCGAUGGCGAAGGCAGCUCACUAAGCCAUAACUGACGCUGAUGCACGAAAGCGUGGGGAGCAAACAGG